GCUUUUGAGGAAUUAUUGUAACAAGAAUUUCAGAAAUUGAGAGAUACAAUGCAGCACUCAAGAACAAAUUCCUGUGAUCUUCUUGCCCAGCUUCCUUCUUCUCUGUCCUUAGACUCUGGGUAUCUAUAUAUCCUUUUCA